AACUCCCUGAAGCUAUGAUUAGGAAGGUGCCUGAUCAACUGUAGCAAGUCAGACAUUUUUGGCCCAUUCCUUGGCACCCUUGGUAAGCUCCCUUGAAACAAGAAGCUCAUUGGUUCUCAAGGAAACCCUCUGCUGGAAAUCCAGGAACACUUCAAAGUGCUGGCAUUUGAAAACUGAGGCAAAUAACAUCUUACAAACAAUGAAAACAACUGGGUGACAAGCUACAAUUUAAAACACACACAUUAUUUUAACGGAUCAUAAACCAAAUAGUAUAGAGUGAGAGAGAUAUACACUCAUUUGUAAUAAAGACAAAUGAUUGAAACCACUUAA